UACGUAAGGGGCAAGCGUUGUCCGGAAUCACUGGGCGUAAAGCGCACGUAGGCGGUUUGCCAAGUUGGGGGUGUAAGCUCUAGGCCUAACCUAGAAAUUGCCUCCAAAACUAGCAUACUUGAGUAUUAGAGGGGAAGCUGGAAUUCACGGUGUAGCGGUGAAAUGCGUAGAUAUCGUGAAGAACACCCGUGGCGAAGGCGGGCUUCUGGCUAAUUACUGACGCUGAGGUGCGAAAGCUAGGGGAGCGAACGGG
rnacentral:rRNA from 1 species